rnacentral:rRNA from 1 species
CACAGAGGGUGCAAGCGUUGCUCGGAUUUACUGGGCGUAAAGCGUACGCAGACGGUCACGCAGGUCGGAUGUGAAAGCCCAGGGCUCAACCCUGGAACAGCCUUCGAUACUGGGUAUCUUGAGUACGGGAGAGGUGUGUGGAACUCCGAGUGUAGAGGUGAAAUUCGUAGAUAUUCGGAAGAACACCAGUGGCGAAGGCGACACACUGGCCCGUUACUGACGCUGAGGCGCGAAAGCGUGGGGAGCAAACAGG